AAUAAAUAGAACCGGCAGCUGAGCCCUAGCGUCGGCCUGGCGCGCGAGCCUGCCUUCCCUCGGCCUGGGCCGCCUCCUCUUUGGCCCAAAAGGCCUGCUGUGCCGGCGCUGCUCUAGGGUUUAGAUCUGGCCCGUCCGUGGGAUCCUACGGCCACGCGCGCGUUGCGGGCGAACAAAAACGACCGAACGGCAGGGGCGAGGGGAAACCAUAUCCUUUUCCUCCCCUCGCGCGCCGCUCGUCUCUGUCCCGCAGCGGGGAGUUCGGGCUGCGCCGGCCGCCGGCGACGGCGACGAACCACCGCGCCGGCCAGCGUCUUUCCCCUGCCCCUCUGCUCCGCUCCAGAUCCUUCCCUUUCCCCUUCUUUCUUCCGCGCCCACCGACGUGCUACCGCGCCGCGGGAGUAGUUUCCUCCUCUCAUCGCUCGCUCUGUCCCGCGGCGGAUCGACUUCUGUGCCGGCGAGCCGGCGACGGCGUCGGACGCGACCGCGCUGCGCCACUCUUUCCCCUUCCCCUUUCUUUUCUCCAGUCCGCCGAGCCACGAAGAGUGAGAGAGCGCGAGCCGAGCCCACCUCUGCUCCCCCUUGGACGACGACGGCGGAGCAUGCGCCGUUGCCUUCCCCUUCGCCGGCCGCGCGUUCGCCUCGCGGUGAGCGCGUUGCCGUCGUACGGAUUGGCCGCGGUGCUCUUUGCCCCUUUCGGGGUAGGUUCUUCGUCCGACGCCUCGGCUUGCCGAUGCGCGGCCGGAUCGAGAGGAAUAGGCGCGGCCAUGACGGCGGCGCUCUUUGCCGGCGGGCCCAAGGCCCUCUCCGGUGAACUUUUUGUUUGCUUUUCUCUGCCCUGAUAGGGUUCUUUGGGGAGGAAAAACUAUCGCUUUGAUUUCUUUCUACCGAAAACAACUAGCCCGAUCUGGCUGAUACCAUUGAUAGAACUUUGGAUCGGAGUAGGCUAGUAGAUCCGGUGAACCUACCUUGUCCAGCAGCGGAUGAACUCGAGCCGGAGGCCAUCGUGAUGCUAGGGCACACGGCGAUGGCAGAGAGUAGGCGACGGUGAUGGAGCUUCCCGUGAGCACCGCGCUAACCCUAAAUCGGUAGGGAUUGUAGGUGGGGAUUGUGACAGCGAUUAACCUCGUGAAUAGUGCCCCGGCCCCCACCUCUGUUUAUAUAGCGCGGGUCACAGGGGCCCACCAACCAUGGUUUGGUUGGGCGCCCCCAAUCAGGGGGCGAGUCAGGGGCCCGUUCGACCCGUUGGGCUCGAACGGGAGAGAGAUCAACCUAACACAGAUAACUCUCGAUCUUCAGUAUGGCGCCUCAAGUUCUGGAACGUAACCCCGCAUCCAAAACGACAUGAUCGCUCGCAUUUAUUUCGCAUGAUCUUUCAAUUCCAGGCCAACGCCUAUAGGUCGCAUGAUCUCCCCCUUCAAAUCUUGGUCGACGUAGAGGGGUUGGGAGGAGGAGGAUACACAGGGAGCGGCAGCGGGCAGGCAAACGGGAGGGCCGCAUCUCGGAGCUCCCCGACGCGUAGCGCCGUAGAUUCUGAGCCUGCUGCUGCUCAAGUCAGCCAUCCACGCCGGCGCACUGUCCUUACGGUGGUGCGACCUCCUCCUCACUCCGCUACAGAUUCCCGUCGGGCGUGUAGGGGACGGUGGAGACGGAGGACCAGUUUGCAGCCAUCCUCUCGGUGAUGCGGUGCUGGAUGGUAUGCACUUCGAUACAGAGGGCGAGGCAGGUUGCGGGAGGCAAGACGUACAUGCUCACCGUGGCUCUGCAAUGCCCGUUCCCCAAACGUGUCCCUCUCUGUGCUUGGCAUGGGUUGUGGGUAUAGUAACAGUUCUACAACAUCCUGCCAUGGCAAUCCGCAUCUGGAGAUGUGAGCACAACAGUGGACGGUGCCUUGCCGUCAGGGACCGUUUACCCAGGCCUGCCGGCCAAGUUGGAUGUGCUACGGACAGUGGGUUCGUCGAAGCGAAAACUUUCCUGUAGCAGGUGCUGCAGAGCUGCCGGUGGAAGGCGUGGACAAUUAAGACGGGGUCAUGUGUGGAGCCGCUUCAACGACAUGGACUUUGGCAUUAGUGUGAAGUUGCAGCGCAACUAGCAAAACUGGAACAGAACAUACAGAUGACAUAUUUGUAUUGUUAAACCAGCCUCUAACUUACUCCAUACAAUGUUAGGGCACACACAGCCUGACUCAAGAAUUUGCUACUUUUGGCAACCCGAUCAAGGUUCUGGCAAAAGCCCUCUACGUGCGUGUCUUUGCAAUUCAUAUCACCGAAGCGCAACUGGAGAUGUGACUGAUGGAGGAGCGCCUGCUACAACUUGUGCUAGAAUGCUAUUCCUUUGUUGAUGUUUUUUGAGAUAGCUACCCACUUAUUUCAAGUGGUAUUCCUUUGUUUGAUAGAGAUGAGAGGCAAGGAAAGAGACACGGGUGAGAGUGCAAGAGAGAAUGUAUGGUUUUAUUUCUUACGUGUCUAGUGUACAAUGUACAGAUAUAACUCACGAUAGUGCAGCCGUUUGAUAGAUAUAUAUACAACAUGACCGACUGUGAGACGGCUUUGGGCGCUCCAAACCCCUUGGAUACAUGUUCACAAGAGCCAAUAA